CUACUUACCUGCCAGGUGUGAUAUUAUGUUCACAAAGGUGCUUCUCUCAGGGCAGGACUCACCCAUUGCACUCUGGAUGUGCUGCUCCUGUGAUUUCCCAAAAUGUGGAAAACUUUAUUGCAUAAUUUGUGGCAGUGAGGGACUGCAUUUUUGCUUUACCCUUG